UACGGAGGGUGCAAGCGUUAUCCGGAUUUACUGGGUUUAAAGGGUGCGCAGGCGGAUAUGUAAGUCAGUGGUGAAAUCUCCGGGCUUAACCCGGAAACUGCCGUUGAUACUAUAUAUCUUGAAUGCUGUGGAGGUAAGCAGAAUAUGUCAUGUAGCGGUGAAAUGCUUAGAGAUGACAUAGAACACCAAUUGCGAAGGCAGCUGGCUACACAAAUAUUGACACUGAGGCACGAAAGCGUGGGGAGCAAACAGG
rnacentral:rRNA from 1 species